UGGGGAACUUUUGGACAAUGGGCGAAAGCCUGAUCCAGCAAUGCCGCGUGUGUGAAGAAGGCCUUCGGGUUGUAAAGCACUUUUGUCCGGAAAGAAAUCCUUGGCUCUAAUACAGGUCGGGGGAUGACGGUACCGGAAGAAUAAGCACCGGCUAACUACGUGCCAGCAGCCGCGGUAAUACGUAGGGUGCAAGCGUUAAUCGGAAUUACUGGGCGUAAAGCGUGCGCAGGCGGUUUGCUAAGACCGAUGUGAAAUCCCCGGGCUCAACCUGGGAACUGCAUUGGUGACUGGCAGGCUAGAGUAUGGCAGAGGGGGGUAGAAUUCCACGUGUAGCAGUGAAAUGCGUAGAGAUGUGGAGGAAUACCGAUGGCGAAGGCAGCCCCCCUGGGCCAAUACUGACGCUCAUGCACGAAAGCGUGGGGAGCAAACAGGAUUAGAUACCCUGGGUAGUCCACGCCCCUAAACGAUGUCAACUAGUUGUUGGGGAUUCAUUUCCUUAGUAACGUAGCUAACGCGUGAAGUUGACCGCCUGGGGGAGUACGGUCGCAAGAUUAAAACUUAAAGGAAUUGACGGGGUCAUAGCUGUUUCCU
rnacentral:rRNA from 1 species